CAGUCCCACGUGGCAGGGGGAGAACUGUAUGAGCGAGUCUCCCGUGUUCAAAUCGCAGUCGUGGUUCGGUUGUCGAUGUCAGACUGCAUUUCAGUGAGCGCAGAAUGGCUGAAACCAGCAGGUACAUAUGUCACUAAGAAUGAUUGUCGUUGACAUCAAGAGGAGUGGUCUGCGACGGCUGGAUCGUAUUUGGAGUUUGCUAUGGGACUGAACUACUGCCAAUGAAGAUUCAGCUGGCCCCCAAAGGACUAUUGCUGAACAAGCCCACUACCUCUAGCCGGGU
rnacentral:lncRNA from 1 species